GACAACUAGUCCUUUGUUUCUCCUAUUGGUGUCAUCAAACAUAAUUUCUAUGAUAAUAAUGAUCUUACUCGUGACUGUGAAAUGGAAAGACCAAGCCAGCUCAUCAGUCAACAGAUCACAUUAUCAAGAGACAGCUGAAAGUAUUCAGGAUGGAGGUACAGAUGUAUUGACUUACGCAUCUGUGAGUUUCAGCAGUAAAUCACGGCCCUCUAGAGGUGCUAAACAACACAACAUUUCCCAGCAUACCGAUGUCUAUUCACGGAUCAGGUCUUAACAGAAGAACCUGAACCUGUUUUCUGUACUUUAGUGAUCCAAAUGUGCCAAUGCAUAAAUCACGGUGAACUAAACAGUUCAAGAUCAAAUCUAUUAUAACAUAUUAUACUAUACAAUAUCUAUUUUAAAAUAGCUGUUAACAUCGAGUCUGCAUUCACAUCGGAACAUUAUUUUAUUAUCUUUUAUUUUAUAUGAGGUUGUUACAGAAUACUGCUUAGCCUGGACAGUCAAAGCUAACACAUUAGAUACCAAACCUGAUAUCAGGCCUGUUAUUCUUACAGGUAUUCUUUUUAAAUACUUUCCCUUAUCCUUGCUGAUGUGAA